AUGGGUGAAUGGGGUUUAGCAUGGUGGUGCGCCCUCAUCUUCACGGCCACCCCGUUGCUCGCCUUGGUACUUUGGCACUGCACCGAUGUAUUCCACCGUGCCGCCUUCACGCUCAACCCCGCUCAUCGUGGUCGACGUCUCCCGCCUGGCCACAUGGGCAUCCCCGUGCUCGGCGAGAGCGCAGCGAUGAUGUGGUACUUCAAGGUCGCUCGCCGCCCUGACGGCUUCGUCGAGGCAAAGAGGAAGGCGUACGGGGAGGGAUCGAACAUAUACAGGACGCACCUCUUUGGCUCGCCGGCCGUCAUCGUCUGCUCGCCGGCGGCCAACAAGUUCGUCCUGCAAUCCACAGAUAGCUUCGCUGGCCGGUGGCCCAUGCCCGAGUUGCUCGGCCUCACGUCCCUCCCCAACAUCGAGGGUAGGCAGCACACUAGGCUCCGCGGCUGCAUCGUCGCGGCAGUCAACCAGCCGGAGCCACUGCGGACCUUCGCGCGGAUGGUGCAGCCACGUGUGGAGGCGGCGUUGCGGACGUGGGCGGACAAAGGGACCAUCAUCGCAGUCCCAGAGAUGAAGAAGGUCAUGUUCGGCAACAUAUGCAAGACAUUCAUAAGCCUGGACCCAUCGCCAUUCACGGAAAAGAUGGAGAAAUUGUUCGUUGGCCUGGUAGACGGGAUCAUGGCAUUUCCGUUGAACAUUCCAGGCACAGCAUCUCACCACGGUCUCAUGUGCCGCAGGAAGCUCAACGCCGUAUUCCGCGAGGAGCUCGAAAGGAGGAGGGCGAAGAAGACGACGGCCGCGACACUGGGUGAUCGGCAACAAGAAGAUGGUGAUCUGAUGAGCAGGCUGAUGGAAACACAGGACGAGCAGGGGAAGAAGCUGAGCGAUGAUGAGGUGGUGGACAGCAUAGGAUCCCUGGUCAUGGCGGCUUACGAAUCAACGGCCACCGCUGCAAUGUGGGCAUCCUACCACUUGGCCAAGUCACCGGAUAUCCUAGCCAAGUUGCGGGAACCGGCAAAGCCAGGCACAUACCGGCCGUUCGGCGGAGGUUAUAGGGCCUGCGCAGGCAACAUGAUGGCAAGGCUGCAGAUCACAAUCAUGCUAUACCAUCUAUCUCUUGGCUGCGAAUGGAAGUUACUUAAUCCUAACGCAAGGACUGUGUACUUCCCAACCCCCAGGCCAGAAGAUAACGCACCAAUGGCUUUUAGUAGACUCUGUACAAGUAUGUGA
rnacentral:rRNA from 1 species